rnacentral:rRNA from 1 species
AUGGCUCAGGACGAACGCUGGCGGCGUGCCUAAUACAUGCAAGUCGAACGGUCUUUCUAUGGAAGCUUGCUUCCACUGAGAAGAUAGUGGCGAACGGGUGAGUAACACGUGGGUAACCUGCCCAUAAGAGGGGGAUAACAUCCGGAAACGGGUGCUAAUACCGCAUAGUUUUCUUGAUCGCAUGAUUGAGAAAGGAAAGACGGCCUUUGUGCUGUCGCUUAUGGAUGGACCCGCGGCGUAUUAGUUAGUUGGUGAGGUAACGGCUCACCAAGACGAUGAUACGUAGCCGACCUGAGAGGGUGAUCGGCCACAUUGGGACUGAGACACGGCCCAAACUCCUACGGGAGGCAGCAGUAGGGAAUCUUCCGCAAUGGACGAAAGUCUGACGGAGCAACGCCGCGUGAGUGAAAGAAGGUUUUCGGAUCGUAAAACUCUGUUGUCAGAGAAGAACAAGUUGGAGAGUAACUGCUCCAGCCUUGACGGUAUCUGACCAGAAAGCCACGGCUAACUACGUGCCAGCCGCGGC